UACAGAGGUCUCAAGCGUUGUUCGGAUUCAUUGGGCGUAAAGGGUGCGUAGGCGGCGCGGUAAGUCGGGUGUGAAAUCUUGGAGCUUAACUCCGAAACUGCAUUCGAUACUGCCGUGCUUGAGUCCUGGAGAGGAGACUGGAAUUUACGGUGUAGCGGUGAAAUGCGUAGAUAUCGUAAGGAAGACCAGUGGCGAAGGCGGGCCUCUGGACAGUUCCUGACGCUGAGGCACGAAGGCCAGGGGAGCAAACGGG
rnacentral:rRNA from 1 species